CGAUUUUUUGACUUUUUCGACUGAUUUUUUUCCGGGAAAUAUUUUUUUAUAUUCAAUAACAGUGCCACAAAUAUGUAUGUAAAAUUUUAGAUCAAUCAGAAAACGUUUACCCACUCAAAUGAAUUUUUUUUUGAAAAUUUUUCUGGGUAAAACUGCUGUUUGUGCUUUUAAAAAAUUGAGAUCAGUUUAGAAAUCAACCAAGAACACCCAAAACGCCCAAAAUCUGAUACCAAAUGAUA
rnacentral:lncRNA from 1 species